rnacentral:rRNA from 1 species
UACGGAGGGUGCAAGCGUUAUCCGGAAUCACUGGGUUUAAAGGGUGCGUAGGCGGGAAGAUAAGUCAAGGGUGAAAGCUCGUCGCUUAACGACGGAAUUGCCUUUGAUACUGUUUUUCUUGAAAUAUGUUGAGGUUGGCGGAAUGAGACAUGUAGCGGUGAAAUGCUUAGAUAUGUCUUAGAACACCGAUUGCGAAGGCAGCUGACUGGACAUUAUUUGACGCUGAGGCACGAAAGCGUGGGGAUCAAACAGG